UAAGCGACUAAGCGUACACGGUGGAUGCCCUGGCAGUCAGAGGCGAUGAAGGACGUGCUAAUCUGCGAUAAGCGUCGGUAAGGUGAUAUGAACCGUUAUAACCGGCGAUUUCCGAAUGGGGAAACCCAGUGUGUUUCGACACACUAUCAUUAACUGAAUCCAUAGGUUAAUGAGGCGAACCGGGGGAACUGAAACAUCUAAGUACCCCGAGGAAAAGAAAUCAACCGAGAUUCCCCCAGUAGCGGCGAGCGAACGGGGAGGAGCCCAGAGCCUGAAUCAGUGUGUGUGUUAGUGGAAGCGUCUGGAAAGGCGCGCGAUACAGGGUGACAGCCCCGUACACAAAAAUGCACAUGCUGUGAGCUCGAUGAGUAGGGCGGGACACGUGGUAUCCUGUCUGAAUAUGGGGGGACCAUCCUCCAAGGCUAAAUACUCCUGACUGACCGAUAGUGAACCAGUACCGUGAGGGAAAGGCGAAAAGAACCCCGGCGAGGGGAGUGAAAAAGAACCUGAAACCGUGUACGUACAAGCAGUGGGAGCACAGAGCAAUCUGUGUGACUGCGUACCUUUUGUAUAAUGGGUCAGCGACUUAUAUUCUGUAGCAAGGUUAACCGAAUAGGGGAGCCGAAGGGAAACCGAGUCUUAACUGGGCGUUAAGUUGCAGGGUAUAGACCCGAAACCCGGUGAUCUAGCCAUGGGCAGGUUGAAGGUUGGGUAACACUAACUGGAGGACCGAACCGACUAAUGUUGAAAAAUUAGCGGAUGACUUGUGGCUGGGGGUGAAAGGCCAAUCAAACCGGGAGAUAGCUGGUUCUCCCCGAAAGCUAUUUAGGUAGCGCCUCGUGAAUUCAUCUCCGGGGGUAGAGCACUGUUUCGGCAAGGGGGUCAUCCCGACUUACCAACCCGAUGCAAACUGCGAAUACCGGAGAAUGUUAUCACGGGAGACACACGGCGGGUGCUAACGUCCGUCGUGUAGAGGGAAACAACCCAGACCGCCAGCUAAGGUCCCAAAGUCAUGGUUAAGUGGGAAACGAUGUGGGAAGGCCCAGACAGCCAGGAUGUUGGCUUAGAAGCAGCCAUCAUUUAAAGAAAGCGUAAUAGCUCACUGGUCGAGUCGGCCUGCGCGGAAGAUGUAACGGGGCUAAACCAUGCACCGAAGCUGCGGCAGCGACACUGUGUGUUGUUGGGUAGGGGAGCGUUCUGUAAGCCUGUGAAGGUGUGCUGUGAGGCAUGCUGGAGGUAUCAGAAGUGCGAAUGCUGACAUAAGUAACGAUAAAGCGGGUGAAAAGCCCGCUCGCCGGAAGACCAAGGGUUCCUGUCCAACGUUAAUCGGGGCAGGGUGAGUCGACCCCUAAGGCGAGGCCGAAAGGCGUAGUCGAUGGGAAACAGGUUAAUAUUCCUGUACUUGGUGUUACUGCGAAGGGGGGACGGAGAAGGCUAUGUUGGCCGGGCGACGGUUGUCCCGGUUUAAGCGUGUAGGCUGGUUUUCCAGGCAAAUCCGGAAAAUCAAGGCUGAGGCGUGAUGACGAGGCACUACGGUGCUGAAGCAACAAAUGCCCUGCUUCCAGGAAAAGCCUCUAAGCAUCAGGUAACAUCAAAUCGUACCCCAAACCGACACAGGUGGUCAGGUAGAGAAUACCAAGGCGCUUGAGAGAACUCGGGUGAAGGAACUAGGCAAAAUGGUGCCGUAACUUCGGGAGAAGGCACGCUGAUAUGUAGGUGAAGUCCCUCGCGGAUGGAGCUGAAAUCAGUCGAAGAUACCAGCUGGCUGCAACUGUUUAUUAAAAACACAGCACUGUGCAAACACGAAAGUGGACGUAUACGGUGUGACGCCUGCCCGGUGCCGGAAGGUUAAUUGAUGGGGUCAGCGCAAGCGAAGCUCUUGAUCGAAGCCCCGGUAAACGGCGGCCGUAACUAUAACGGUCCUAAGGUAGCGAAAUUCCUUGUCGGGUAAGUUCCGACCUGCACGAAUGGCGUAAUGAUGGCCAGGCUGUCUCCACCCGAGACUCAGUGAAAUUGAACUCGCUGUGAAGAUGCAGUGUACCCGCGGCAAGACGGAAAGACCCCGUGAACCUUUACUAUAGCUUGACACUGAACAUUGAGCCUUGAUGUGUAGGAUAGGUGGGAGGCUUUGAAGUGUGGACGCCAGUCUGCAUGGAGCCGACCUUGAAAUACCACCCUUUAAUGUUUGAUGUUCUAACGUGGACCCGUGAUCCGGGUUGCGGACAGUGUCUGGUGGGUAGUUUGACUGGGGCGGUCUCCUCCUAAAGAGUAACGGAGGAGCACGAAGGUUGGCUAAUCCUGGUCGGACAUCAGGAGGUUAGUGCAAUGGCAUAAGCCAGCUUGACUGCGAGCGUGACGGCGCGAGCAGGUGCGAAAGCAGGUCAUAGUGAUCCGGUGGUUCUGAAUGGAAGGGCCAUCGCUCAACGGAUAAAAGGUACUCCGGGGAUAACAGGCUGAUACCGCCCAAGAGUUCAUAUCGACGGCGGUGUUUGGCACCUCGAUGUCGGCUCAUCACAUCCUGGGGCUGAAGUAGGUCCCAAGGGUAUGGCUGUUCGCCAUUUAAAGUGGUACGCGAGCUGGGUUUAGAACGUCGUGAGACAGUUCGGUCCCUAUCUGCCGUGGGCGCUGGAGAACUGAGGGGGGCUGCUCCUAGUACGAGAGGACCGGAGUGGACGCAUCACUGGUGUUCGGGUUGUCAUGCCAAUGGCACUGCCCGGUAGCUAAAUGCGGAAGAGAUAAGUGCUGAAAGCAUCUAAGCACGAAACUUGCCCCGAGAUGAGUUCUCCCUGACCCUUUAAGGGUCCUGAAGGAACGUUGAAGACGACGACGUUGAUAGGCCGGGUGUGUAAGCGCAGCGAUGCGUUGAGCUAACCGGUACUAAUGAACCGUGAGGCUUAACCU
rnacentral:rRNA from 1 species